rnacentral:tmRNA from 1 species
GGGGGCGACCUGGCUUCGACGUGGGUUGCGAAACCUGAGGUGCAUGCCGAGAUUGAGACCUCUCGAAAAUAAGACUCAACUUAAAUAUAAAUGCAAAUGAUGAAAACUUUGCUGAUGGUGAAGCUAUAGCUGCAUAAGCUUUAGUUCUACCUCACACCGUGCGCUGCCAUUAAACCAGCGCCCCAUUGACCGAGCUUGCUUAUUGGUAUCGAAUCAAUGGUCAUAGAAGAUAAGCUAGCGAGAUAAUUUGUCCAAAAUUAGCUUGCGAAAUUUUAGGAAUCGCUAUAAAUAUUCCUGCUCUUCGGAGUGUUUAUAGUUAAAUUUUGAAGAAGCAGCUAAGCAUGUAGAUCUAAUGGCAGAGGAUUUGCGGACGCGGGUUCGAUUCCCGCCGCCUCCACCA